UACGUAGGGGGCAAGCGUUGUCCGGAUUUACUGGGCGUAAAGGGCGCGUAGGCGGCGUGACAAGUCACUUGUGAAAUCUCUGGGCUUAACCCAGAACGGCCAAGUGAAACUGUUGUGCUAGAGUGCAGAAGGGGCAAUCGGAAUUCUCGGUGUAGCGGUGAAAUGCGUAGAUAUCGAGAGGAACACCGGUGGCGAAGGCGGCUUCCUGGACAAUGACUGACGCUGAGACGCGAAAGCGUGGGGAGCAAACAGG
rnacentral:rRNA from 1 species